AGCUGUGGCUGGUUGAAAUUCACGAGGCUUAAUGAAUCUUAUUGUUGAUAGCAAGAAGUUGAUUCCCAGUGCUGUUUUCAUGAUUGUACCCUAAGUUAAUCCACUAAUCUCAGGAUGGCAGUUUGGAAGACUAUGAGCUGGACUCUCUGGAAUCCACACAAUAGUUACAGGGAUUGAGGUGGUGUGAGCAGCCUGGAAACACUUAACUCCAGGAUUGUCUUUCAUGGUGUGAGUUUUCCUGGAUCUGGAAAUUUCUCUUCACAUAAAAGG